ACUCCUACGGGAGGCAGCAGUGGGGAAUAUUGCACAAUGGGGGAAACCCUGAUGCAGCCAUGCCGCGUGUGUGAAGAAGGCCUUCGGUUGUAAGCACUUCAGUAGGGAGGAAGGUAGUGUAGUUAACACCUGCAUUAUUUGACGUUACCUACAGAAGAAGCACCGGCUAACUCCGUGCCAGCAGCCGCGGUAAUACGGAGGGGUGCGAGCGUUAAUCGGAAUUACUGGGCGUAAAGCGCAUGCAGGCGGCCUGUUAAGUCAGAUGUGAAAGCCCGGGGGCUUAACCUCGGAAUUGCAUUUGAAACUGGCAGGCUAGAGUCUUGUAGAGGGGGUAGAAUUUCAGGUGUAGCGGUGAAAUGCGUAGAGAUCUGAAGGAAUACCAGUGGCGAAGGCGGCCCCCUGG
rnacentral:rRNA from 1 species